AUGUGGCACAAGACCGACAAUACCUUGCCGGUGAUGGUCAACAGCCGGAUGACGGGCAGCAAAAAGGUUCUUGUGCUGCACACCAACAAGAACUUCGACCAGAAAAGGACCAACUGCGUGAUGCACCAGUACCAUCUCGGGGACCUGGAGCAAGAGAAGGAGCGGGAGCUGUUUCUCUGCAAGUUGGUAUUGUCGUUAACGAUCUUUUGGUCGAGCAAGUUUCAACUGGGAUGUAGACUGCCUAGGCUUGGUUUUGUUUUUAACAGGCUCAACCCAUGA
rnacentral:rRNA from 1 species